rnacentral:rRNA from 1 species
AACGAACGCUGGCGGCAGGCUUAACACAUGCAAGUCGAGCGCCCCGCAAGGGGAGCGGCAGACGGGUGAGUAACGCGUGGGAAUCUACCCAUCUCUACGGAAUAACGCAUGGAAACGUGUGCUAAUACCGUAUACGUCCUUCGGGAGAAAGAUUUAUCGGAGAUGGAUGAGCCCGCGUUGGAUUAGCUAGUGGGUGGGGUAAAGGCCUACCAAGGCGACGAUCCAUAGCUGGUCUGAGAGGAUGAUCAGCCACACUGGGACUGAGACACGGCCCAGACUCCUACGGGAGGCAGCAGUGGGGAAUAUUGGACAAUGGGCGCAAGCCUGAUCCAGCCAUGCCGCGUGAGUGAUGAAGGCCCUAGGGUUGUAAAGCUUUUUCACCGGUGAAGAUAAUGACGGUAACCGGAGAAGAAGCCCCGGCUAACUUCGUGCCAGCCGCCGCAGUAACAC